rnacentral:lncRNA from 7 species
AGAGUAAGCACCUCUUCCCAGGCACCCGAUCAUCCCAUGAUCCGUUCCUCUGUGCACACGCCUCUUGGCCCGGACUCCCUCGUUCGCACCGCGCGUGCCUGCCUCUGCCUAUAGCGUCGCGCUAGGUUUCGGUAGGCGAAUCAUUCGAUUUUUCAAGCUAUUCGGACGGUGCUCGAUAGGAAUUCCAACGCAUAGGAGUAUCAAACGAUUAACUUAGGGCCUGUUUGUUUACCCCAUAGAUUAUAUAAUCUGGAUUAAAUAAUCCUAAAAGACAAACAAACAGUCUAGCUUAUUUGCCCAGAUUAUAUAAUCUAACCCCUUGGAUUAUGAUAAUCCAUAAGCAAGUGAGGAUGUGCUUAUUUCAGAUUAUUUUUUUCCCACUUCCCCACUACCCUUUCAAGUUUCCUAGAAAUUACUCACCAUUGCCAUUAUAAUCUACCGAAUCGUUUUUGCGCCUAUCGGAUCGGAGAAGCCCGCCGCCCAACAGAAACACGCCAGAUAAUCUGGGUAAACAAACAGCACUACUCAGAUUAUAUAAUUCAAAUUAUAUAAUCCAGAUUAUAUAAUCCUCCAAAAAUAAUCCAGAUUAUAUAAUCCAUUAGGGUAAACAAACAGGCCCUUAACUCCCACCGAAUCUUGUGUCGCAUAAGCUGUAGGAGUACCUGUUUUGCUUCUUUCGUCGUGCGUUGGCCGUCUGUUGUUGGGUUGGGCUUUUGUGUUUGGUUUCCCGCAAAAGACUGUAUCGAGGACUAGA